CUGGGUUUCCACUUAUUGAAGAUGCUGAAGUCCAAGUUGGCAAGAACAUAAAAAUUCAGUCAUGCACAAGCCAAUGGCAACGUUGAGGCAACUACUUUGAACACAAAAUUCUAAGCUCAAGCAAGCAUACUACCAAAUGAGGAAGUUAUGGCUAGGCAGCAGCUAUCGGUGGAGGAGCGAAGGAGAAGAAACAGAGAAUACCAAAAAAAGCAGAGAGAGAAAAUAUAUAGUGAGCCAGAGUUAAAGGAGGAAUACCUGAGAAAGGAAAAGCAAAGAUGGAAGAAGAGAGUAGAGGAUGGGAAGAUAAAAAUUAUCAGCGAUUUGAAUGAAAUGGAAAAGAGGAGUAAGAGAAAGGCAUGGAAGCAUAGACAGCAAGAGUUGAGAGUGUAAGAGAAAGUGCCCAGAACGCCCAGAAACUCCCCCAGAUAGUCCAUUGGAUCAGACUAUACAGGAGCCAGCUUGCAGUAGGCAGUCUAUAAUAGGGGAAAGGGGAAGAAAGAAAACAAGAGCAAAUAACUUGAGAGAGAUGAAAGCUUUGAAAAAGAAACUUUGAGAUAAUAAAAGAUAGGAACAAAUUGAAAAAGCGUUGGCGACGACAGCAAACUAGAAAUAUGACAGAUAUAUUUGCUGAUGUCAUUAAUUGUGGAGAUUGGCUUGCAGUCAUUUAUGACCAAAAUUGGUGGUUAGCAAAGGCUGUCACUGUGGAUGCUUAUCAUCAAGAUGUUCAAGUGGAGUUUUUCCACCCACAUGGGCCCAACACACGCUUCCAUCCAAAACCAGGUGGAAAGGAUAUGUGCUUUGUACCAGUUGAAGAUAUUCUGGUCAAACUGAUGGAGCCAUCAACACUGGGUCGUGCAAGCAGGACGAGGGAGAUCUAACACCUGUCUGCUGAAGUCAUGGACUUCAUAGAGGAGGAGCAUAUUAAUCGACUACUUCCUGAUAAAGUGACUGAACGUUUUCAAAGAUUUUCAAGCCCAGAAAUGGUUGGAAUUUUUUUUUUAGUUCCUGGUGUGUUUUCUGAUGUUUAUGCUUAAACAUUGCAGUUGUACCGUAGUUUUUAUUUUGCUGUUUACUGUUGUAUUUACAGAAGGAUAAAAUGUACAUGACAAAUUGUUAUUUGUUGUACCAAGUUGUUAAGCAAGGAAGCAUUGACUUGAGUGGUGAAAAGGUUGGAACUGUUUGUUAUAAUUAGGCCACUGCCACCACCGUCAGGUCUCAGUCACCACCAUC